CGCUGGCGGCAUGCUUUACACAUGCAAGUCGAACGGCAGCACGGGAGCAAUCCUGGUGGCGAGUGGCGAACGGGUGAGUAAUAUAUCGGAACGUGCCUUAUAGUGGGGGAUAACGCAGCGAAAGUUGCGGUAAUACCGCAUACGCCCUGAGGGGGAAAGCGGGGGAUCGAAAGACCUCGCGCUACUAGAGCGGCCGAUAUCUGAUUAGCUUGUUGGUGAGGUAAAGGCUCACCAAGGCUUCGAUCAGUAGCUGGUCUGAGAGGACGAUCAGCCACACCGGGAGUGAGACACGGCCCAGACUCCUACGGGAGGCAGCAGCGGGGAAUUUUGGACAACGGGGGCAACCCUCAUCCAGCAAUCCCGCGUGAGUGAAGAAGGCCUUCGGGUUGUAAAGCUCUUUUGUCAGGGAAGAAACAGCAGCUCUAACACAGCUGUGAAUGACGGUACCUGAAGAAUAAGCACCGGCUAACUACGUGCCAGCAGCCGCGGUAAUACGUAGGGUGCAAGCGUUAUUCGGAAUUACUGGGCGUAAAGCGUGCGCAGGCGGUUAUACAAGACAGGCGUGAAAUCCCCGGGCUUAACCUGGGAAUUGCCUCUGUGACUGUAUGGCUAGAGUGUGUCAGAGGGGGGUAGAAUUCCACGUGUAGCAGUGAAAUGCGUAGAUAUGUGGAGGAA
rnacentral:rRNA from 1 species